rnacentral:rRNA from 1 species
UACGUAGGGGGCAAGCGUUGUCCGGAAUCAUUGGGCGUAAAGCGCGUGUAGGCGGCUUGGUAAGUCUGGUGUGAAAACUUGGGGCUUAACCCCAAGCCUGCACUGGAUACUGCCUGGCUAGAGUCCGGGAGGGGAGAGCGGAAUUCCCAGUGUAGCGGUGAAAUGCGCAGAUAUUGGGAAGAACACCGGUGGCGAAGGCGGCUCUCUGGAACGGUACUGACGCUGAGACGCGAAAGCGUGGGGAGCGAAC